CCUUGAGAGCGGCGCACGGGUGCGGAACACGUGUGCAACCUGCCUUUAUCUGGGGGAUAGCCUUUCGAAAGGAAGAUUAAUACCCCAUAAUAUAUUGAGUGGCAUCACUUGAUAUUGAAAACUCCGGUGGAUAGAGAUGGGCACGCGCAAGAUUAGAUAGUUGGUGAGGUAACGGCUCACCAAGUCAAUGAUCUUUAGGGGGCCUGAGAGGGUGAUCCCCCACACUGGUACUGAGACACGGACCAGACUCCUACGGGAGGCAGCAGUGAGGAAUAUUGGACAAUGGGUGAGAGCCUGAUCCAGCCAUCCCGCGUGAAGGACGACUGCCCUAUGGGUUGUAAACUUCUUUUAUACUGGGAUAAACCUACCCUUCGUGAGGGUAGCUGAAGGUACAGUAUGAAUAAGCACCGGCUAACUCCGUGCCAGCAGCCGCGGUAAUACGGAGGGUGCAAGCGUUAUCCGGAUUUAUUGGGUUUAAAGGGUCCGUAGGCGGACUCGUAAGUCAGUGGUGAAAUCUCAUAGCUUAACUAUGAAACUGCCAUUGAUACUGCGGGUCUUGAGUAAAGUAGAAGUGGCUGGAAUAAGUAGUGUAGCGGUGAAAUGCAUAGAUAUUACUUAGAACACCAAUUGCGAAGGCAGGUCACUAUGUUUUAACUGACGCUGAUGGACGAAAGCGUGGGGAGCGAACAGGAUUAGAUACCCUGGUAGUCCACGCCGUAAACGAUGCUAACUCGUUUUUGGGUUUUCGGAUUCAGAGACUAAGCGAAAGUGAUAAGUUAGCCACCUGGGGAGUACGUUCGCAAGAAUGAAACUCAAAGGAAUUGACGGGGGCCCGCACAAGCGGUGGAUUAUGUGGUUUAAUUCGAUGAUACGCGAGGAACCUUACCAAGGCUUAAAUGGGAAUUGACAGGUUUAGAAAUAGAUCCUUCUUCGGACAAUUUUCAAGGUGCUGCAUGGUUGUCGUCAGCUCGUGCCGUGAGGUGUUAGGUUAAGUCCUGCAACGAGCGCAACCCCUGUCACUAGUUGCCAUCAUUCAGUUGGGGACUCUAGUGAGACUGCCUACGCAAGUAGAGAGGAAGGUGGGGAUGACGUCAAAUCAUCACGGCCCUUACGCCUUGGGCCACACACGUAAUACAAUGGCCGGUACAGAGGGCAGCUACUAUGCGAAUAGAUGCGAAUCUCGAAAGCCGGUCUCAGUUCGGAUUGGAGUCU
rnacentral:rRNA from 1 species